rnacentral:tRNA from 1 species
AUUAUAGUAGUUUAAGUUAAGAAUUUUGUUUUGAUAGGACAAUGGUUUGUUAUAAUU